rnacentral:rRNA from 1 species
UGGGGAAUAUUGCACAAUGGGCGCAAGCCUGAUGCAGCCAUGCCGCGUGUAUGAAGAAGGCCUUCGGGUUGUAAAGUACUUUCAGCGGGGAGGAAGGGAGUAAAGUUAAUACCUUUGCUCAUUGACGUUACCCGCAGAAGAAGCACCGGCUAACUCCGUGCCAGCAGCCGCGGUAAUACGGAGGGUGCAAGCGUUAAUCGGAAUUACUGGGCGUAUAGCGCACGCAGGCGGUUUGUUAAGUCAGAUGUGAAAUCCCCGGGCUCAACCUGGGAACUGCAUCUGAUACUGGCAAGCUUGAGUCUCGUAGAGGGGGGUAGAAUUCCAGGUGUAGCGGUGAAAUGCGUAGAGAUCUGGAGGAAUACCGGUGGCGAAGGCGGCCCCCUGGACGAAGACUGACGCUCAGGUGCGAAAGCGUGGGGAGCAAACA